CAGGCAAGAAGCUUACCAACUGAUAAGCUUCGGAUAACGUAUAUCUGAGUCAAUAUGGCUGUAUAUUUGGCUCAGGUUGUUAUAUGGGUAUGCAUCUGGGUCAAUGAUAACAGAACAGUGGAGUUAGUUGAAAAGAUAUUUAUGUCAGUUGUGUCUUUCAUCGCGGCAUUAGGCUUCUUGCUCUACGGAGGAAGGUAGUGUUUUUACUUGUCUCGUGAUCAAAGUGUCUGAAAGUUCUUCAAUGGUUUGACUGGGUCGUCUUUUCUCAUGUAUUCCCUUGUAAUGCUAUGUAGAUAAUUUAUUAUACUAAAUGUGGGCCUAAUAAACA